rnacentral:tRNA from 4 species
GCCAACUUAGCUCAACAGGUAGAGCGAUUGACUUGUAAUCAAUAGGUCGUGGGUUCGAUCCCUACAGUUGGCA